rnacentral:rRNA from 1 species
UACGAAGGGGGCUAGCGUUGCUCGGAAUCAUUGGGCGUAAAGGGUGCGUAGGCGGCGCGGUAAGUCGGGUGUGAAAUCUUGGAGCUUAACUCCGAAACUGCAUUCGAUACUGCCGUGCUUGAGGACUGGAGAGGAGACUGGAAUUUACGGUGUAGCGGUGAAAUGCGUAGAUAUCGUAAGGAAGACCAGUGGCGAAGGCGGGUCUCUGGACAGUUCCUGACGCUGAGGCACGAAGGUCAGGGGAGCAAACGGG